rnacentral:rRNA from 1 species
AACGAACGCUGGCGGCAUGCCUAACACAUGCAAGUCGAACGAGACCUUCGGGUCUAGUGGCGCACGGGUUCGUAACGCGUGGGAACCUGCCCUUAGGUUCGGAAUAACUCCCCGAAAGGGGUGCUAAUACCGGAUAAUGUCUUCGGACCAAAGAUUUAUCGCCUUUGGAUGGGCCCGCGUUGGAUUAGCUAGUUGGUAGGGUAAAAGCCUACCAAGGCGACGAUCCAUAGCUGGUCUGAGAGGAUGAUCAGCCACACUGGGACUGAGACACGGCCCAGACUCCUACGGGAGGCAGCAGUGGGGAAUAUUGGACAAUGGGCGAAAGCCUGAUCCAGCAAUGCCGCGUGAGUGAUGAAGGCCUUAGGGUCGUAAAGCUCUUUUACCCGGGAUGAUAAUGACAGUACCGGGAGAAUAAGCUCCGGCUAACUCCGUG